rnacentral:lncRNA from 1 species
AUGGAAGUUCUCAUUUGGGAUUUCAGUGUUUCUAAGUAAACUUCUCCUUCUUUGUCACAGUAUAUGUUCUGUUUAUUUAAACAGGGGCCUCAAAUCUGACCCUAUCGGAAACUCAAAAUGGAGAUGUAUCUGAAGAAACAAUGGGAAGUAGAAAGGUUAAAAAAUCAAAACAAAAGCCCAUGAAUGUGGGCUUAUCAGAAACUCAAAAUGGAGGCAUGUCUCAAGAAGCAGUGGGAAAUAUAAAAGUUACAAAGUCUCCCCAGAAAUCCACUGUAUUAACCAAUGGAGAAGCAGCAAUGCAGUCUUCCAAUUCAGAAUCAAAAAAGAAAAAGAAGAAAAAGAGAAAAAUGGUGA